UGUUGACAUACCGCUUUCUUGACUGCCUUUAGCGAGUGCGAAUCCUCCACCUAUUUGAAUGAAAAAUUGUUAUUUCAAGCAUCGCACGCGACAAAAGGAUAGCAUUUCAAUAUUUUGAUCAGUUAUGACUAUUUUUCUAAUAGAGCUAAACGCUCAUUGUCAAACAAAAAUCAUAUAAAUCCAAAUUGCAAACUUUAUACAACAAUUACUUACUAUCACAACUUAUUGUCACAAUUCUAUUGUUUUUAAUUAGAAUUUCUUGAAAAAAUCUAACAUUUGGAAAAUGUUUAAGUUCCGAGAGCGGAAAAUAUUAUAAAAAAUCAACCACAAUUUAAAGCAACUUCAAA